AUUAUGUUUAGAGACAGUUAGGUUAAUUUUAUUGGGUUAUUUAUAUUACCUUUUGCAUCAUGAUCUAUUGAUGGUUUUUUCUGUUUUGUAAGACUCCGAAAGAUGUCGAUAUCUAUAUCCAUUGCUUGGUGAUUUUUCUAAGGCGGGUAGCCUGGAUGAAAUGGGGAUAGUGGUUUGAUAAAUAAUUCGGGACAUCUAAUAUCUGGUUGAGGGUUAAUCUUGUUGGUUUAUUUAGUUGGCUAUGGGGUCGGCUAAACGAUUAUAGCGGUUUUAGAUUUAAGGGUCCUUGGGGUUAAAGCUACCCCCGGGAAUCGUGUGUGUUAAUACUCUUCUUUAUUUUUAUAGUUUGCUUAAAAUUAGGUGCCCUCUUUAUAACAUAGGUUCUUUAGUAUGAUAGAAUAAGUAGGCUUUAAAUACUUUCAUUUUUUCUCGAUUGCUUUCGGUCUGUUUAUUAAAAACAUUUCUAUCUUUCUUUUUAGAUAGUAGUGCCUGCCCAAUGCUUAGGUUAAUGGCCGCAGUAUUUUGACUGUGCUAAGGUAGCAUAAUUAGUUGCCUCAUAAUUAGGGGAUUGUUUGAACGGUUUGACUAGAGAGUUUAAUUAGAUUGGAAGUUAUUCUGAAAUUGGUUUGUUGGUGCAGAACCCAACAGUAGCUAGUUAGACGGAAAGACCCCGAGAUCUUUAUGUUGCGAUAUUUAUUUGGGGCAAGGCUAUAUAAUUUAUGUAGUUUUUGAUCCUUUUGGAUUAUAGGUUUAAGUUACCUCGGGGAUAACUAGGUAAAAGACGAGGAGAGAUCUAAUCGAUUCGUUUAAUUGCCAUCUCGAUGUUGACUUGGGAAAUAUAUUAGGGUGCAGGAGUUCUAGUAUUUGGUCUGUUCGACCACAUCUCCCUCAUGAGUUGAGUUAAGACCGGCGUGAGCCAGGUCGGUUCUUAUCUACUUUUGUUGCAAAUUAGUACGAAAGGAUUGUUUGUAUUUUAGGUU
rnacentral:rRNA from 1 species